CUACGGGUCGCAGCAGUGAGGAAUAUUGCACAAUGGGGGGAACCCUGAUGCAGCAACGCCGCGUGGAGGAUGACGCAUUUCGGUGUGUAAACUCCUUUUAUAUGUCAAGAAAAUGACGGUAGCAUAUGAAUAAGCACCGGCUAACUCCGUGCCAGCAGCCGCGGUAAUACGGAGGGUGCAAGCGUUACUCGGAAUCACUGGGCGUAAAGGACGCGUAGGCGGGCUUGUAAGUCAGGUGUGAAAUCCUACAGCUUAGCUGUAGAACUGCACUUGAAACUACGAGCCUAGAGUAUGGGAGGGGCAGAUGGAAUUAGUGGUGUAGGGGUAAAAUCCGUAGAUAUCACUAGGAAUACCUAAAGCGAAGGCGAUCUGCUGGAACAUAACUGACGCUAAGGCGUGAAAGCGUGGGGAGCAAACAGGAUUAGAUACCCGGGUAGUC
rnacentral:rRNA from 1 species